UACGAAGGGGGCUAGCGUUGCUCGGAAUCACUGGGCGUAAAGCGCACGUAGGCGGCUUUUUAAGUCAGGGGUGAAAUCCUGGAGCUCAACUCCAGAACUGCCUUUGAUACUGAGAAGCUUGAGUCCGGGAGAGGUGAGUGGAACUGCGAGUGUAGAGGUGAAAUUCGUAGAUAUUCGCAAGAACACCAGUGGUGAAGGCGGCUCACUGGCCCGAUACUGACGCUGAGGCACGAAAGCGUGGGGAGCAAACAGG
rnacentral:rRNA from 1 species